rnacentral:tRNA from 1 species
AUAGCCAAGCGGUAAGGCAACGGACUUUGACUCCGUCACUCGUUGGUUCGAAUCCAGCUAGCCCAGCCA